GUCCUUAUUAAUGUCAUGUGUCACAGUAGGAUGUAAAGUGACACAACACAAUGUGAUGGAAUGCAACUUGUUAUAGCACCUGCUAUCUAAGGGGUAGGAAUUUCACCGCAGCACCGACUCAGACUGAAAAUGUCUGCUAUAAAUUCCUGUAAUAUAGGAAAGAUGCUGUAAAGAGAUUGUGCCUCUUUUUCUGCAACAGCUGUGAAUAAUUUGACAUUUAGGCAACUGUGUAAUAAAAAUAAUAAAUAAUAAUUUAGCCAGAGCCUGUUGGAUCCUUUAAUAGAUGCAACACUUGAGCUGCUGGAGUCUCUUGAGCAUUUCUGAAAUGUUAUCAGAAAACACAGACUGCAUUUUGUCCAUAAGGCGAAUGGGUUAAACCUGAAGUUGAAAGGCAAGAAGUCCUGUAGAAAAAAAUGGGACAUUUGCCUUCAUCCAUCUGAACUGGAAGUAAAUGAGCCAUCUGGAACUGAGCAGAGAAGGAUGAACACCUUCUCUGAAGAGAAUGUGGAAGCAGCAUCCUCUCUGAGCACUGCUUUCCAACAUGGAGCACAGUUUGGCCAGAGGGGUCCUGUGAGGAGUCCACAAUUAUAUCUUCCUGUUAAAAUGGGAAUAAGAUAGAAGUUCCAGCGAAUUUAGUAAGAAAAGAACUUUGGAGCAAGAAGCAAGAACAGGAUUUUGAAAGAUCUGCAAAUAAAUUUAUCCUAGCACAUAAC
rnacentral:lncRNA from 1 species